AGGUUCCUACGGGGGGCAGCAGUGAGGAAUAUUGGUCAAUGGGCGGAAGCCUGAACCAGCCAAGUCGCGUGAGGGAAGAAGGCCCUGCGGGUCGCAGACCUCUUUGGACGGGGAGCAAGGCCGCCGACGUGUCGGCGGAAGGAGAGUACCCGUAGAAAAAGCAUCGGCUAACUCCGUGCCAGCAGCCGCGGUAAUACGGAGGAUGCGAGCGUUAUCCGGAUUUAUUGGGUUUAAAGGGUGCGCAGGCGGCACGGCAAGCCGGCGGGAAAAUCGCGGGGCGCAACCCCGC
rnacentral:rRNA from 1 species